CCUAGAUUAGAGACAUCUUUCAUCUGUCCUACAAAAACACUAGUGGCAAAGUGAUGUCAUAGUGAUGUGACAUCAUGUGCUUCCUCUUUAAAACUUUCUCAAUUUCCUUAAUAACAUAUGACCCAGUCUAGCCGAAGAACUGACAUGAUUUCGUUAAUAGUCAUCAAACUGAUAAUUCUGCAGCAUAUUUCAGAAGCCAGUGAUGUUACACAGACGCCGAGAUUAUGGGUUGAACUGGGUAAAUCUGCAAAAAUGGACUGCAGCCAUACUAAGGGUGCGGAUUAUUGGUACAUGUACUGGUUUCGGCAACGACAGGGAGAAACGAUGAAACUCAUUGCUUUUACAAUGACAGACAACAAGCCAGACUUUGGUGAUUAUUCUGAAGAUAAAUACUCAGCUGAAAAGCCUUCGGCGGAGACAGGGUCUUUCACGGUGAAGACGCUGCAGUCUGAUGACAGUGCUGUGUAUUUCUGUGCUGUAAGUAAACACAGUGACACAGACUGACUG